rnacentral:lncRNA from 1 species
UAAAUAAUAAUAAUAAUGUUGGAAAAUUUGUAAUAAACAUGGAUAGUAGGUCUAGAUGUGGUAGAGAUCGAACAUAAGUAAUUUAUUUUAAUAUGGGAUAUAAAACAGAAGCAGGAGGGUUGGAGUAUGUGGGGUUUUUGUUUGGUUGUGUCCGACCUCGGGGUUAUGGAUGGUAGAAGGAAGGGAAUAUGUGUCUGCGUGUAUGUCUAGGAUGGACCUCUUCUCUCUUUCUCUUUUUUUUUUUUGUUUCUCUUCUUCUUCUUCUCUAUUUAAGAGCAUUUCAAGACAAACCCGUGACACCACUCUCUAUUUCUCUCUCUUUGCUUUUUCCCCUGACGUAUGUCCUUUUUGUUUUGUUUUGUUUUGUAUAUAUAGAUAUUUUAAAUUUCUAGUGUUUUCUCUCAUCUCUCUU